GGGCCUUUGUUCAGUGAGGAGCAGUCAGUCUGCUUAUAUGGAAAACACACUAUGCUAAGCAGAAAGCUGUCUGUUUAGAGGUCUCUUUUCAUCUUGAAAGAGAAGAAAAACAGUAGCAAAGGACUUCCUUGUCAAAUCCUAGUUCAAGUUGAACUUCUAAAGGCUUGGAGGAGGCAUUUGUGACACCAAAGCUUUUAGGAGCAUUGAAAUGAAAACUUGAAGGGGAAAGAAAGCGUUUUCCUCCGUCUGUGUCUUGUUGCCUGGAGAGCCGUACGAUUUCACUCGGCUCUGAUUUUGUGAUUAAAACGUUGUGCAAGAUUGUGGUCACAUCUGCACCCCUGGAAGAUCCGUGGGUGAGGGUCCGGCAGCCUCCUUUCACUGAUGGGGUCUGAGCCUCGAAGGUUCAGGGACAAGACUAGGUUCAUGAUGGAAAUGGCAAAGUCAGAGAUGGAGCCUGGGCCUGCGGAUUCUGGUCCCAGGAAGGAGAGGUGGGUGCUGUCCUUUGAUGGAACAAGCUGGAAGCUUUGAAAUCCAACAUUGAGUCCCGACUUCCCAGCUUCACAGUUUUGGGAGACAAGUCACCAUUUUUUUUUUUAAGUAUAGUUUAUUUACAAUGUUGUUAGUUUCAGGUGCACAGCAAAAAAAUUCAUAUAUAUGUGUGUGUGUAUACACACACACACACACACAUAUAUAUUCUUUUCCAUAUUCUUUUCCAUUGUAAAUUAUUAUAACACAUUGAGUGGAGUUUCCUGUGCUAUACAGUAUGUCCUUGUUGGUUAUCUAGUUCACAUACAGUAGCCGUAUGCAUGUUAAUCCCCACUUCCUAAUUUAUCUCUCCCUCCCGCUUUCCCCUUUGGGAACCAUAAGUUUGUUUUCUAUGUCUGUGAGUCUAUUUCUGAUUUGUAAAUAAGUUUAUUUGUAGCUUUUCUUUUUUAGAUUCUACGCAUAAGGGACAUCAUGUGGUAUCUGCCUGGCUUGCUGCAGUCAGUAUGAUCAUGUCCAGGUCCAGCCACCUUGCUGCAAAUGGCAUUAGUUAAUCUUUUUAUGGGGAGCCAAGUAACCCAUCUUCUCUGUUGGCCCAUCUCCUGCCUUUUUUUUUUUUUUCUUUUUCUUUUUAGGGCUGCACUUGUGGCAUAUGGAGAUUCCCAGGCUAGGGGUCAAAUCGUAGCUACAUCUGCUGGGUUACACCACAGCCACAGCAACUCAGGAUCCAAAAUGUGUCUGCGACCUAUACCACAGCUCGGGGCAAUGCCAGAUCUUCAACCCACUGAGCGAGGCCAGGGAUCGAACCGGCAUCCUUGUGGAUCCUAGUUAACCACUGAGCCAUGAAGGGAACUUCCACUUCUGCAUUAUUUUGAAUACUGCAUCUCCAGCAUUAUUUUGAAGAUUAGAGGAGAUACAUACAUGAGCAUGGCGCCGACACCCAAUGAUGGCGGUAGCUAUUUUCUUGAACUGGUCCUGUGACCGAGCAGGGCCCUGCGGGGCACCUGGGCACACAAGCCUUUCUCUGUCCUCCGUUUCUUGUUUUUAGGGAAUAAGCUUCAGCCUCCAUGAACCCUCCUGAGUUCCAAAGAGCAGUUGCUAAUCAGGGAAGGGAGGGGAUGCAGAGACCAGGGAGGAGCCCUCAAGAGGAAAUUGUGCAGCCCUGGGGCAGGGUCCUGGUUCCUCCUGAAGGAAUAUACAGAACAAUAUCUUUGAGCCUUUCUGCAGAACUGAAACAAACCCCCAACAAAUGGAAGAACUACCUGAUGAAGCCCCUUCAUUCUGGGAAGGAGGAGGACCACCAGCACCAGUCCUGGGGCCACUAAACACCAGCUUGGAGAAACAAUGCAAGCUUGCCUCUCCCCGCAUCCUUAUCUACAGCCCUCUUUUCCACUUCCCAAACGAUAAAACCACCUCCUAAUCAGGUGGGCACUGUCUUUAAGGCAUGAGCCUGCUGUGGUCCCCUUUGUCUGGCAAAGCAAUAAAGCUGUCUUUUUCUUCUUCACC
ensembl:lncRNA